GCAGGUGUGUGUCCGUCUGUGUGCUGCUCUCACUCUUGCUGAUGGGUUUCACCAACAGUGUCUCACCUGACUGCAUCUGGGAAGACACGCUCGUCACCUUCAGAUACGGCAGUAUGUCACCCAUCCAUGAUACCUGGGAGUACGGAGUGACACUGGAAAACUGCUGAUGAAGCUCGAGCAGCUGGAUCAGCUCCGGAGAUCUCUUCGCUCUUUCCGCUAUCAGCUCGAUAUACUCGUCUGCCUUCUCGGCAAACCGAUACGCGGCCUGCUUGGAGCUGAAGCUGUAGUAUUUCUCCCUGUGCUUCAGGACGCCGAUGUUCGGAUUGCCUUUGGAAAGUACGAGCCGGCUUUUCUGGACAACAAGCAAACCGGAGGACGCUUGUGGAAAGGUUUCACCCUGAAGUCCAUGUUGAUGCGAAGGUGGUUUGUCCUUUAUUGUGCAGCGUGAAAGACCGAUGCAGCCUUACCACUGACUGCUAGGAAUCAUCAAGAGUUUAGAAUUUGAAUUUUAUAAAGUCAUUGUGUAUUGCUGUCUGUAUGGAAGGGAACUUCCAGGAACUUCGCCUCUGUGAAGGCAGAGAGAUUGGUGUUUCUUAGAUCACAGCUUCAAAACUAAGAUAUAUACCAUCGGGUAGAGAGAGAGAGAGAGAGAGAGAGAGAGAGAGAGAGAGAGAGAGAUAAUAACGGUAAAAUAUUUGCUAACAGAAAGAGCCCGGUUCAAGCAAUGAAUAAGUAAAGAGAAUACUUAUUAAUAAGCGCAAAAGG